ensembl:lincRNA
GGUCACGUUUCUCUUUAGAUUACACACAGCGUCUUGUGAUGCUGCCUCUGGUCAGCUGAUUUCUCCUUGCCUCAUUCCAACUUCUUUUGUCAGAAAAUUCUUCAAUAUUGCCACAUUCUUUCACAAUAAUAUGGAAUAUUUGUGAAUUGUGCAAGAAGAAUACACUAUGUGGAUUAUUUCUAAAAUCAAAUGUUUGAAAUUAAGGUAAAUUUCAUUUUUAUAACAAAGUUCUUAAAGGCACAAAAAAGAAAAUAGACAAAACAGUAAUCCACAGUGAAAAACAUAGAAAGACUCUUAUUUGUUAUUGGAAAGGGUAGAGACUUGAACAGAUUUUAUUUGUAAUUUGUUAUAACUUUAUAAUAAAUUUGUGCAGAAUUAUAUUCUGAGAUAAAUUUUAAUACAUUGCCAUUUCCACAUAUGGCUGGGGAGAACCAAGACAAAGGUAAAAUAGUAAGUUAAUAAAGAUCAGCAGUCAUUGACUUGUAUUGCAAAGAGCCUAAGCAGUCACUGAGUUAGAUGAGGGAACUCCAAGCAAUGGAUUCAUCCAGAGUCAAUUUGAUGACUCUUCUUCAAGAGUCUUCAACUGAUUUAUAUAUUGAGAUUUUCUGUUAGAUUUUUAAAUAAAUCUGAUUUAUACCUUGAGACUUUCUGUUAGUGUCUUAAUCUUACUGCUGCUUUAAAAAGAAACAAAAGUUUUGAAAACCACUGAAUUCAACUGUAGUUAUGCCUACCAUAACUACAGUUAUGAAGAUUACAUGAAGAUUAUACAAGAAGAAUGACUGAUGCAAAUAAAUUAUUUUUCAGUCAAUUAUGAGCCUUCCAGCAAGAUAGCUAGCAUUUCUUGAAGAUGAGGUUUCUGAUUUGUUGGUUUUGGUGUUGCUUACUCUGCAGCACAGUGAAGCCUCCAAAAAUACUUCCCCCAUGUAUAAAUUCAUUUUACUAAUCUUAGCCAAUAUCUUCCUAGAUAGAAGGGCCAUCAAGAUUUCCAACAAGGGUCUUUACCAUUUGAUUUCCCAUCACAGGAUGAGUUCUGAGCAUAGAAAGCAGCCUGAAGCCCCAGGAUUCAGGUCCCCAGAUUACGAAGGACUGGACAGGAUUCACCCCUAUACAGAGAAAGAAAAGACUUCUUUGAACUCUUUGAAUAAGAACAGAAUUCCCUUCUACCCUGUUUCUGACUUAAUACUCCAAUAAAAGCUAACCUUUUAACAACAGCAGCUGAUAUUUACAUAAGAUUCACCAUGUAAACAGACUUAAAGAAGGCAACUGCCUGAGACCCCAUUUCAAUGAAGGAAGAAAAUAAGGAAGUCAUGUUUUGAUAAAGCUAUCAGAAUUUAAAUAUAUGUACUAGGAUUCCAUAUCUGUUUUGGUUUAAAGAAAGAAUUUUUAGUUGGAUAAAUCUGACAAGAUUUGAAGAUAAAAACAAAAAAAAAUCUGGAUCUUGUCUUUCUCUUAUAAAGUGCGGUUUCUUCACAUCACUCAGGAAUGUUUAUUCCAACUUAAGGCAGAACAGAAAAUUGAUUAAUGCUGACUGCUUUCCUAUGUCUCUGUACUAUAUUUACCUGAAAUAUAAACCACAAUUUCAAUAAAUGGGUUUGUCUGAUAAUAGCAAAAAAUUGAAUCUCUCUGAAAAUUCUGAAUAAAAUGUAUGUAGUUUGGUUACAUCUCUUUCUUACAGGAAAAUGUACAUAGGUA